rnacentral:lncRNA from 1 species
AUAUCAUGGUAGUUAAAUAACUUUCUCCUCUCCUUCUUAGAGCAGACUUGCAGCCAUUCUUCUAGCGUCAAUCUGUUGCGGAAGAUUUUCGAUCACGUAUGAAUACAGCUGGAAUAAGUCGGGGACCAUCGGAGUGAUGUUUCUAUAAAAUAAGUUCUGACCGGAGUUGGCUCCGACGAGGAUCCUCCGAUGGUCAAGUCAGGAAUUUGGCACAAUAGAAGAGAAGGAGAGAG